AGAACGAACGCUGGCGGCAGGCUUAACACAUGCAAGUCGAGCGCCCAGCAAUGGGAGCGGCGGACGGGUGAGUAACACGUGGGAACAUGCCCUUUGGUACGGGACAACUCAGGGAAACUUGAGCUAAUACCGUAUGUGCCGGUAACGGGAAAGAUUUAUCGCCAAAGGAAUGGCCCGCGUCCGAUUAGCUAGUUGGUGAGGUAAUGGCUCACCAAGGCACCGAUCGGUAGCUGGUUUGAGAGAACGACCAGCCACACUGGGACUGAGACACGGCCCAGACUCCUACGGGAGGCAGCAGUGGGGAAUCUUGGACAAUGGGGGCAACCCUGAUCCAGCCAUGCCGCGUGAGUGAUGAAGGCCUUCGGGUUGUAAAACUCUUUCGACGGGACGAUAAUGACGGUACCCGUAGAAGAAGCUCCGGCUAACUUCGUAGCCGGCAGCCGC
rnacentral:rRNA from 1 species